UUUAUUUAAAAACAUUUUUUUUUAAUUUUACUCACACCCUCAUGCAGACAUGGAUCCAUUCAUCUAUCCAUUUAUUUAUUCAUAUAUAUGCCCAACCAUUCAUCCAUUGGUCCAUCCAUCUAUCCAACAUUCAUCAAUUUAUUCAUGCAUAUGGUCAACCAUUCAUUUAUCCAUCCAUCCACUCAUCCAUCUGCCCAUAUAUCUAAGGACUCAUCCAUCCAUUCAUUCAUGAGAAUGAAGAAACACUUACUAUGUGCCUAGUACUACCUUAGGCACUGGAGGUCCAAGGACAAAAAUGAAACCAUCCCCACUCUUGAGUAGUCUACAUCACACUGGUAUGGUCUUGCAUUACUAUUUAAAGGUGUUUUGUCUUCUUAUCUUAUUUUCCAAAGCAGAAUGCAAGCCUCUUGAGGAACAAUCAACCAACCAAUCUGACUGAAACAAUGAGUUUGGAAGGGCUGUGAAUGGCUGGUUGAUAGGACAGAGCUGACAGGAACAUGUCAUGACAUACAUCAUCCUACUUAUGGAACCUGGGACAAAAUGCCUGGAAUGCUCUCCUUCCUCAUCUCUGCCUCCUCCUGGCCUUCAUGGAUUCCUUCAGAUUUCAGGAGAGGACACUGACCAGGAGAGGCAGCCUGAUAUAGCAGGACAGCUGAACUUGUUGUUCAUAGACUUCUCCAUGAUCCUUCUGAGCUGUGUGACCUUAGAAAACUCAUUGAACCAUGGUGACCUAAUAAUAUUUGGGGUGUUUUUUCCCCCUUAAAACUUCUACCUUCUGUCUUACUAUCAAUUCUAAAACAUAAGAAUGGCAAGUGCUAGGCAAUUGUGCCUUGCCCAGGGUCUUUGGCUAGGAAAUGUCUGAGACUAAAUUUGAACCCAGGACCUACUGUCUCCAACGCUCUAUCCAUUGUGCUAUCUACCUGCCCACCACUUUAAUGGUGAUGUUUUAAUGAGGAUGAAAUAAAUGAAAUAAUGGACAAUAGAUGUUUCCUAUA
rnacentral:lncRNA from 1 species